UCAUAUGCUUGUCUCAAAGCUUAAGCCAUGCAAGUGUAAGUUCACGCCACGCUUUAGAACGGGCGAAACCGCGAAUGGCUCAGGAACCGGACCUAAUCCUCGGGACCGUAAUCCUCCUCGGAGGCGAUGGAUAACUGUGGCAAUUCUAGAGCUAAUACAUGUGACACAAGCCGCGAUCGGUCGUCACGUCGUGGUCGCCUCGCCUCGCGCGCUGGCACCCGUGGCGGCCGUCUUGGGUCGCGGCGCUACAUAUUAGACUGAGACCGAUGCGCGAUUCCCGGCCUCCCGUGCUGUGCGUUCCCUCGCGGUUCGUAUGGCCGGGACCAAAGGUCGGCGCGCUCCGCUUUGGUGACUCUGGAUAACUCACUGGUCGAUCGCACGGGCUUCCACGCCCGGCGACGGGUCCCCCGAGGGUCCGCCCUAUCAACUGUCGACGGUCGGUUAAGUGCCUACCGUGGUUACUACGGGUAACGGGGAAUCGGGGUUCGAUUCCGGAGAGGGAGCAUGCGAAAUGGCUACCACAUCCAAGGAAGGCAGCAGGCGCGCAAAUUACCCACUCCCGGCACGGGGAGGUAGUGACGAAAAAUAACGACGCGGGACUCUGUCGAGGCCCCGCGAUCGGAAUGAGUACACUUCAAAUCCGUUAACGAGGACCAACCGGAGGGCAAGUCUGGUGCCAGCAGCCGCGGUAAUUCCAGCUCCGGUAGCGUAUAUUAAAGUUGUUGCGGUUAAAAAGCUCGUAGUCCGAACUCGGGUUCGUGGUCGCUCGCGCGGCCCCGGGGCGGCGGCGCCAUCGUCCAAGUUGACUUUGGUCGUCCGUUCGCAUUCCCGGCCCUUUCCGCCGGUGUCGACCGCUGUAUGUCGGGGUUGGGUGGCAGUCGGUGAAAYCGGGUUCGCUCGGCUCAUCCGGCCACGCGCCYYUCYCCGUCGGCGGUCUCUCCUCCAAGGGUGCUCUUAACCGAGUGUCCGCGGCGGCCGGUACGUUCACUUUGAAAAAAUUAGAGUGCUCAGAGCGGGCUGUUCAAGCUUGCAUACGAUAAGCAUGGAAUGAUGGAAGAGGGCCUCGUCUACGUCUGUCGGUCUCCGUCUACGGCGAGGCAAUGAUCGAAGGGAGCGGUCGGGGCCACUCGUAUUGCGACGUUAGAGGUGAAAUUCUUGGAUCGUCGCAAGACGAACUGCAGCGAUGGCGUGUGGCAAGCACGUUUUCCUCGAUCAAGAGCGAAAGUCGGAGGUUCGAAGACGAUCAGAUACCGUCGUAGUUCCGACCGUAAACGAUGCCGACCGGCGAUCCGCCGGCGUUCGCUUCCAUGACCCGGCGGGUAGCCUGCGGGAAACCAGAGUUCGGUUCCGGGGGGAGUAUGGUUGCAAAGCUGAAACUUAAAGGAAUUGACGGAAGGGCACCACCAGGAGUGGAGCCUGCGGCUUAAUUUGACUCAACACGGGAAAACUCACCCGGUCCGGACACCGGUAGGAUUGACAGAUCGAUAGCUCUUUCUCGAUUCGGUGGGUGGUGGUGCAUGGCCGUUCUUAGUUGGUGGAGCGAUCCGUCUGGUUGAUUCCGAUAACGAACGAGACUCCGGCCUGCUAACUAGUGCGCCGAUGUGAGUGCGUCGCUCCCUCGCGGGCGUCGUGUGCGGGCCUCCGUGGGCCGGCCUUCCUUAACCGGGGGUCGCGCUUUCGGGUCCGGGUCGGUUUCUCACGCACUUCUUAGAGGGACGGGUGGCAGAAAGCCACACGAGGCGGAGCGAUAACAGGUCUGUGAUGCCCUUAGAUGUCCGGGGCCGCACGCGCGCUACACUGGAGGUAUCAGCGGGGACUUCGCCCCGGCCCGAGAGGGUCGGGAAACCUCUCAACCACCUCCCGUGAUAGGGAUCGGGGCCUGUAACUAACCCCGUGAACGAGGAAUUCCCGGUAGGCGCGGGUCAACAGCCCGCGUCGAUCACGUCCCUGCCCUUUGUACACACCGCCCGUCGCUACUACCGAUCGAACGGUCCGGUGAGGUCCUCGGAUCUGGCCGACGACGCCGCCGGGUUGUGGUUUCGGCCGCGCCUCGGCGUUCGAUGCCUGGAGAAGACGACCGAACCCGAUCGUUUAGAGGAAGUAAAAGUCGUAACAAGGUUUCC
rnacentral:rRNA from 1 species